UACGUAGGGUGCAAGCGUUGUCCGGAAUUAUUGGGCGUAAAGAGCUCGUAGGCGGUUUGUCACGUCGGAUGUGAAAACCCGGGGCUUAACCCCGGGCCUGCAUUCGAUACGGGCUGACUAGAGUUCGGCAGGGGAGACUGGAAUUCCUGGUGUAGCGGUGAAAUGCGCAGAUAUCAGGAGGAACACCGGUGGCGAAGGCGGGUCUCUGGGCCGACACUGACGCUGAUGCGCGAAAGCCAGGGGAGCGAACGGG
rnacentral:rRNA from 1 species